rnacentral:rRNA from 1 species
CGUUCCCGGGCCUUGUACACACCGCCCGUCAAGUCACGAAAAGUCGGUAACACCCGAAGCCGGUGGCCCAACUCUUUGAGAGGGAGCCGUCGAAGGUGGGACUGGCGAUUGGGACU